UACAGAGGGUGCGAGCGUUAAUCGGAAUUACUGGGCGUAAAGCGCCCGUAGGCGGCUUGGUAUGUCGGGUGUGAAAUCCCCGGGCUCAACCUGGGAACUGCAUCCGAAACUGCCUUGCUAGAGUAUGGGAGAGGGAAGUGGAAUUUCCGGUGUAGCGGUGAAAUGCGUAGAUAUCGGAAGGAACAUCAGUGGCGAAGGCGACUUCCUGGACCAAUACUGACGCUCAGGUGCGAAAGCGUGGGGAGCAAACAGG
rnacentral:rRNA from 1 species